UCUUCCUUUGCCUAAAAAAAAAAAACUAGUCUCUUCUUCCCCAACUCGGCCGCCAUGAGAGGAAGUGAGAGGGAGAACAGGGGCUCGACGCGCAAAUGGAGCUCCUCAUGUAGCAAGAGAUCCACUCUGAUUGAGGAGGUCGGGGAGAGUAUGGUGUCGGAAGGUUCGUCGGCGGAUGGUACCAGGGGGACGUCCGUGGAGGUGGCGCUGCAGGAGACCACGGGUGUUCGCGGCGGAUCCGCGGGCGUCUGUAGCGGCGGCAAUCGAUGGAGAGAAGAUGAAUCCCCAGGCUCUUGGUUGGAAUAAGAGGGUGAGGAUAGGCACAGGCACUCAUUGCAGGAAACCAUGCCCGUCGUGUGUAACUGCAUUUGAGAAAGUUGUAAGGGGGUAUGCAGAGAACCCUUCAGAGAACGUCAUUGUGCUGAUGCUGGGCUCAAGCUUCGAUUCGCUCGGAGAAGCUUAUGAUUUCUACAACUUUUAUUCCUGGGAGAGGGGAUUUGGAACAAGGUACAAGAAGAGUAGAGUGAAUGUCGAGAGGAUGAAGGGCAUGCAGGAGGUCAUGUGCGGGUGAUUGGGGAAAGGCCGGCGUGGAGAACACUAGGUCUAGGUCCUGCCGGUGUGAGUGUGCCGUUUAUGAAGAAGUCUAUGAAAAAUCUGCGUGGAAAGAUAGCAAGGAGCAGGCGGAUGACGAUGUGAGGAAGACAAAUGGAAGUGUUUGCUGAAUUGGGGGCAAAGGAUCUACACUUUACAUACCAUGUGCAGGCAGACAAAGAAGGUCGGAUAAAAAACGUGUUGUGAGCGAAUGGCAGCAACAGUCUGCAAUACAGUUUCUUUGGCGACGCAGUGACGUUUGGUGCAACGUACCAGACGAACCUUUACGACACAUAUUCAGACUUUUUGUUGGGGUUAACAACAAUUUUCAGAGUAUUAUACUGCCUGGUGUACUGGUAUGCCACUAGACUGACGAGAGUUUUGAGUGUGUUUUUCCAGACUUUGUACGGAUGAUGAGAGGCGUGGUGCCGAAGACAAUACUCAUUGACUAGAAUCGGACGAAGAAUUGCAUAAAAGAACAUGGCUGGACAGGGGUGAUGUCCCCGAAGCAACCCCGGAAGCCUGCAAGGUGUGAGAAUUGUGGGUACGUAUGAAGGCCAUAAGAGGAACACCUGCACCAAGGCAAUGGAGAUGAGGUGGAUGAUACACGUAAAUGAAAAUUGUGGUGCUCUUUGCAACUUUACAUGCUGCGGACAUGUUUAUUUUUUUCCCUAAUUCUGAAGGUGGCAAGAGAGGAAUAAAUAUUUCAGUAUGAUAGAUGUGCUAGUUUUCGCAACUGUCAUUUCCUGCAAAUUUGUCUCUCUGUUUACCUGAAUCCAGUACAAUAAAGUAGAUGGAACACCUGUUUCAAGAUGGUGGUGUAUAUGUAUUUCUGAUCUGUGCAAACCUUCAUGGAUUAUGCUUUCCACAAACAUACUACUCUGAUUAGCCGAUUCAUGGUGCAUUUCACUCUCCGUGUUCACGGUGAGCACUCACUAUUAUCAAUUCAGGUAUUGUUAGUUUCUUGAUGCAACGUUUCAGACUCAUAUAUCUCAGGUUUUA